AGAACAAUACAAUGGUGUUCUCUUUAGAGAAAUUGGAACAAUAUAGAGAUUAGCAUGGCUCCUGUACAAGAAUGAUACACAAAUUUAUGAAGCAUUUCAUAUUUUU